UACGGAGGGUGCAAGCGUUAUCCGGAUUUAUUGGGUUUAAAGGGUCCGUAGGCGGACUCGUAAGUCAGUGGUGAAAUCUCAUAGCUUAACUAUGAAACUGCCAUUGAUACUGCGGGUCUUGAGUAAAGUAGAAGUGGCUGGAAUAAGUAGUGUAGCGGUGAAAUGCAUAGAUAUUACUUAGAACACCAAUUGCGAAGGCAGGUCACUAUGUUUUAACUGACGCUGAGGGACGAAAGCGUGGGUAGCGAACAGG
rnacentral:rRNA from 1 species